AUACGGAGGGUGCAAGCGUUGUUCGGAAUUACUGGGCGUAAAGCGCGCGUAGGCGGUCUGUUAUGUCAGAUGUGAAAGUCCUCGGCUCAACCGGGGAAGUGCAUUUGAAACUGGCAGACUCGAGUACUGGAGGGGGUGGUGGAAUUCCCGGUGUAGAGGUGAAAUUCGUAGAUAUCGGGAGGAAUACCGGUGGCGAAGGCGACCACCUGGCCAGAUACUGACGCUGAGGUGCGAAAGCGUGGGGAGCAAACAGGAUUAGAAACCCGAGUAGUCC
rnacentral:rRNA from 1 species